rnacentral:rRNA from 1 species
GAUGAACGCUAGCGGCAGGCCUAAUACAUGCAAGUCGAACGGUAAGGCCCUUUCGGGGGUACACGAGUGGCGGACGGGUGCGUAACGCGUAUGCAACAUGCCUUCCAGCGGGGGAUAUACCAGGGAAACUUGGCGCAAUACCCCAUAGAAUUACGGGACCGCAUGGUCUUGUGAUUAAAACUCCGGUGCUGGGAGAUCGGCCCGCGUUGGAUUAGGUAGUUGGUGGGGUAAUGGCCUACCAAGCCGACGAUCCAUAGCUGGUUUGAGAGGAUGAUCCGCCACACUGGAACUGAGACACGGUCCAGACUCCUACGGGAGGCAGCAGUGGGGAAUUUUGGACAAUGGGCGCAAGCCUGAUCCAGCCAUGCCGCGUGAGUGAAGAAGGCCUUCGGGUUGUAAAGCUCUUUCGGCCGGGAAGAAAUCGCACAGGUUAAUACCCUGUGUGGAUGACGGUACCGGAAUAAGAAGCACCGGCUAACUACGUG